rnacentral:rRNA from 1 species
GACGAACGCUGGCGGCGUGCUUAACACAUGCAAGUCGAACGGAAAGGCCCUGCUUUUGUGGGGUGCUCGAGUGGCGAACGGGUGAGUAACACGUGAGUAACCUGCCCUUGACUUUGGGAUAACUUCAGGAAACUGGGGCUAAUACCGGAUAGGAGCUCCUGCUGCAUGGUGGGGGUUGGAAAGUUUCGGCGGUUGGGGAUGGACUCGAGGCUUAUCAGCUUGUUGGUGGGGUAGUGGCGUACCAAGGCUUUGACGGGUAGCCGGCCUGAGAGGGUGAACGGGCACAUGGGGACUGAGAGACGGACCAGACGCCUACGGGAGGCAGCAGUGGGGAAUAUUGCACAAUGGGCGGAAGCCUGAGGCAGCAACGCCGCGUGCGUGAUGACGGCCUUCGGGUUGUAAACCGCUUUCGCCUGUGACGAAGCGUGAGUGACGGUAAUGGGUAAAGAAGCACCGGCUAGCUACGUG